ACAUCGGUAGCACAGUGGUCAGUGCAGUCUGCUGGAAAUAGAAAGACGCGGGUUCAAUUCCCGUUCGAUGUC
rnacentral:tRNA from 1 species